rnacentral:rRNA from 1 species
GGGGGCAAGCGUUAUCCGGAAUUACUGGGUGUAAAGGGAGAGUAGGCGGCAUGGUAAGUUAGAUGUGAAAGCCCGAGGCUUAACCUCGGGAUUGCAUUUAAAACUAUCAAGCUAGAGUACAGGAGAGGUAAGUGGAAUUCCUAGUGUAGCGGUGAAAUGCGUAGAUAUUAGGAAGAACACCAGUGGCGAAGGCGACUUACUGGACUGAAACUGACGCUGAGGCUCGAAAGCGUGGGGAGCGAACAGGAUUAGAUACCCUGGUAGUCCACGCCGUAAACGAUGAGUGCUAGGUGUCGGGGGGGAACCCUCGGUGCCGCAGCUAACGCAAUAAGCACUCCACCUGGGGAGUACGAUCGCAAGAUUGAAACUCAAAGAGUUUGAUCCUGGCUCCGCACAAGCGUGGAGCAUGUGGUUUAAUUCGAAGCAACGCGAAGAACCUUACCAAGGCUUGACAUCCCUCUGACCGGUGUAGAGAU